GGCCCCAUAGCACAACUGGAUAGGGCAACCGCCUCCUAAGCGGUCGAUCUCAGUUCGAGUCUGAGUGGGGUCA
rfam:Lactobacillus florum 8D Contig00042, whole genome shotgun sequence.